rnacentral:rRNA from 1 species
GACAGAGGCCCCGAGCGUUAGGGGGAAUCACUGGGCUUAAAGCGCGUGUAGGCGGAGGGCUAAGUACCUUGUGAAAUCCCCGGGCUCAACCCGGGAACUGCUCGGUAUACUGGCCUUCUUGAGGCAUCUAGGGGCGAGCGGAACAAACGGUGGAGCGGUGAAAUGCGUAGAUAUCGUUUGGAACGCCAACGGAGAA